UACGUAGGGCGCAAGCGUUGUCCGGAUUUAUUGGGCGUAAAGAGCUCGUAGGCGGUCUGUCGCGUCGGCUGUGAAACCCCGAGGCUCAACCUCGGGCCUGCAGUCGAUACGGGCAGACUAGAGUGUGGUAGGGGAGACUGGAAUUCCUGGUGUAGCGGUGAAAUGCGCAGAUAUCAGGAGGAACACCGGUGGCGAAGGCGGGUCUCUGGGAAGUAACUGACGCUGAGAAGCGAAAGCGUGGGUAGCGAACAGG
rnacentral:rRNA from 1 species